GGGAUGGUGUGUGCGCCAGCGGCGACAGCGGGAUGUUGCCGGCCGACUUGCAUCGGGCAGAGCGGUACUGGCGGUGCAGCUUCGGUGACAGGCCGUGCAGCGUGCUGGGCCGGAUGUGGUGCGAUGCCGACGACGCGGUCUCUAUACAGCUCUGGUCCACUUGGCUCCUCCCACCUCAGGCCCCAUCCUAGAGAUGCUACUCAAAGCAAAACCAACAUUUUUCUGGCCCCACCUGAGAGGUGCCCAAGACAUCUCUGACCCCACCCUCCAGCUACAUCCCACUUAUCAGAGCCAGGGGUUGGAGGGAGAAGUUCACUGACUCAGUUCAACCUGGGUCCUCUCACUUAAAUCCCUACUCACAAUUUGUCCAGGCCAAACCCACUGAUCAAAACAGAACACUCUCCUGGCCCCACCUACCUCUCCUAGCUUCUCCUACCUAUAAGAAAAUAAAUUAUUUCACUUUGCA